rnacentral:rRNA from 1 species
AGCAGCCGCGGUAAUUCCAGCUCCAAUAGCGUAUAUUAAAGUUGUUGCAGUUAAAAAGCUCGUAGUCGGACGUAAGACAAGGCCGCCGGUCGACCGUCAGGUCUGCACUGGUGCGCCGCGUCUCAAUGUCGGGGAUGUCGUGCAUGCGUUGCGUGGACGGCGGAACCGGGUUUACUGUGAAGAAAU